UGUCACUUUGGGAAUUUUUCU
rnacentral:piRNA from 1 species